AGCAAAAACAGUACCAUUACCAACUAAAGCAGGAAAUGAUUCCCCAUCAGCAAGCAGAGCGUUAGAAGCAGAAACCAAAAUCUCAUCAUGUUGAAACCCAACAAAAACCCUCCAUAACUUAAGUUCCUCAAGUCCGUUGUUAGUUAUACUGAGAAUAGACUGAAACUUGUAGGGUUGACGAGUUUUCAAAGUGGGUUUGAUUUUAGAUCCGGAAUUAAACACAUACUGCAAGAAUAUACCGUUACAGUCGUCGGCUGCCGGUGCCGGAGCUUCAGCCAUCGGAGUUGUUUGUCCGGCGACGGUGAUGAUUAGGAGAAAGAGAGAGAAAAAUGUUGUGGUGAGUGCCAUGUUGUUU
rnacentral:misc_RNA from 1 species